rnacentral:rRNA from 1 species
AUUGAACGCUGGCGGCAUGCCUUACACAUGCAAGUCGAACGGCAGCACGGGUGCUUGCACCUGGUGGCGAGUGGCGAACGGGUGAGUAAUACAUCGGAACAUGUCCUGUAGUGGGGGAUAGCCCGGCGAAAGCCGGAUUAAUACCGCAUACGAUCUACGGAUGAAAGCGGGGGCCCUUCGGGCCUCGCGCUAUAGGGUUGGCCGAUGGCUGAUUAGCUAGUUGGUGGGGUAAAGGCCUACCAAGGCGACGAUCAGUAGCUGGUCUGAGAGGACGACCAGCCACACUGGGACUGAGACACGGCCCAGACUCCUACGGGAGGCAGCAGUGGGGAAUUUUGGCCAAUGGGCGAAAGCCUGAUCCAGCACUGCCGCGUGUGUGAAGAAGGCCUUCGGGUUGUAAAGCACUUUUGUCCGGAAAGAAAUCCUUGGCCCUAAUACGGUCGGGGGAUGACGGUACCGGAAGAAUAAGCACCGGCUAACUACGUG